rnacentral:rRNA from 1 species
GAGUUUGAUCAUGGCUCAGAAUGAACGCUGGCGGGCGUGCAAUAACACAUGCAAGUCGAGCGAGAAAGUCUCUUCGGAGAUAAGUACAGCGGCGGACGGUGAGUAACGCGUGAGAAUUUACCCUUUAGUGAAGAAUACCUCUGAGAAAUCAGGGUUAAUACUGCAUACGUCCCUACGGGGAGAAAGGUGGCCUCUUGCUGCCGCUAAAGGAUAAGCUUGCGUACUAUUAGCUAGUUGGUGAGGUAAAGGCUCACCAAGGCGAUGAUGGUUAGCCGGCCUGAGAGGGUGUACGGCCACACUGGAACUUAGACACGGUCCAGACUCCUACGGGAGGCAGCAGUGAGGAAUAUUGCGCAAUGGGCGAAAGCCUGACGCAGCGACGCCGCGUGGAGGAUGAAGGUCUUCGGAUUGUAAACUCCUGUUAAGUGGGAAGAAAGACCUAUUUCUAAUACAGAUAGGGGAUGACGGUACCAUUAGAGAAAGCACCGGCUAACUUCGUG